UGGAACUUUUUAUGCCUAAUUGAAAUGGCGAGAAGUACUUGUGGGGUGAAUAACUCCUUUGAAAGUCAGGACAACAGGUUGAGGUUCCUUGUGGGGGAAAGAAGGCCCGACUCCAGGAAUUUUAAAUCAUGGCGACAAUUUGGAGAGAUCCGAAAACGUACGCCCACCAGAACAUGUAAAUAGAGUUUCGGUAUCGAGGAGGGAGCUUGGUAUGCAAUUUGCUCAUUUGACACUUGAAAUAUGUGGCAACAAUACGAGAGGAGGAACAGGAAAUUUUUUCGCAUUUCGCGUUUCGCAUUCGCAAUUGCAAUUGCAAUCGAAAUGGCCAUGUCUGCGGCUCUAUAGGCAAAUGUCAGCCAACAACCUCGUCGCAGGCGGUGACAAUGACAGGUAAAGGGGGCCUGCGGGGCUUCGAUGGACAUCGGGCUAACUGGCGACGACAAGUGGACAAGCCAGCUCCUAGCUGCGAGCUGCGAGCUGCCUCUGGAUCAGGCUGUCUAUCUGUAGGUCUGUCUGGCAGCCCCUGAUCGCCGGGAUGAACUCUGAACCUGUACAAAAUAUGCGGCCAACUUGUUUCCAAUGCACGCCCCGAGGAGCAGGCAGCAACGCCCCCAACUCGCCACGGCAUCUGGAUGUUGGCCACCCUGUGGAAGACAGAGUCUCUGGACAUUUGAAGAAGGAAAACAGGCGGAAAAAACUGCUGAUUUUAUAUUAGGUGAUACAUAACAUUAAAAUAAGCAAGGCGAAUCUCUACACGCGUUAAAUGUAAACUCUAUAAAAUCCUUUUAAGUGGAACUUAUUCCAAAAGCAAUAAAUUUA
rnacentral:sRNA from 1 species